rnacentral:rRNA from 1 species
AAUAUUGGACAAUGGGGGGAAGCCUGAUCCAGCCAUGCCGCGUGUGUGAAGAAGGUCUUCGGAUUGUAAAGCACUUUAAGUUGGGAGGAAGGGGUGUAAGUUAAUACCCUCCAUAUUUGACGUUACCAACAGAAUAAGCACCGGCUAACUUCGUGCCAGCAGCCGCGGUAAUACAGAGGGUGCAAGCGUUAAUCGGAAUUACUGGGCGUAAAGCGCGCGUAGGUGGUUCAGUAAGAUGGAAGUGAAAGCCCCGGGCUUAACCUGGGAACUGCUUUCAAAACUGACGAGCUAGAGUACGGUAGAGGGUAGUGGAAUUUCCUGUGUAGCGGUGAAAUGCGUAGAUAUAGGAAGGAACACCAGUGGCGAAGGCGACUACCUGGACUGAUACUGACACUGAGGUGCGAAAGCGUGGGGAGCAAACAGG